rnacentral:misc_RNA from 1 species
GAUGAAGAACGUAGCGAAAUGCGAUACUUGGUGUGAAUUGCAGAAUCCCGUGAACCAUCGAGUCUUUGAACGCAAGUUGCGCCCGAAGCCGUCAGGCCGAGGGCACGCCUGCCUGGGCGUCACACGCCGUUGCCCCCCCGCGCCCCGCACCCAACGCUUUGGGAGCGACCGCGGGGCGGGCUGAUGAUGGCCUCCCGUGCGCUCCGCCGCGCGGUUGGCCCAAAUACCGAGUCCCCGGCGACGUGCGCCACGACGAUCGGUGGUUGAGAGACCUCUGUCGCAAGUCGUGCGCGCCCGUCGCGUCACGCGGGCUCGCAUAGCGCCUCGCGCCGCACCCGGUGCGGAGCUUUCAACGCGACCCCAGGUCAGGCGGGGUUACCCGCUGAGUUUAAGCAUAUCAAUAAGCGGAGGA